ACUUCACUGGCCUCCUCCAGACGUGGUGGUUGCGCCCUUUCGGCCUCGCUUUCCGUUUUUUGGCUUCAUCCCCUAGAUCUGCAAACAGUUCCUCGUGUUUCUUCCGUUAGCCGGGAAACGCGAACUGCAGCGUUUGGGACCCGGGUUUGCGCGUGUGGAAAGCAAAAGGGGUUACUCUGCUGGAGUUCGACAUUGCAAAUAAAGGUCUUUAUCCCCGGCGGUUCUACAAAAUUAGUUCUGCAGGGAUUCUGGUUGAAAGAAGCGUUAAAGUGGGCCUUGUAGGAGUCAGCAAUAAUCCAAUUUUACAUGGGUGCAGGUGGCUGCCUGUGUCUAGCGCUUUCACACAUCUCAUAUCUUCAUCCACGCCGUGGGUAUUUUUUUUCCACGGUGUGUUUCUGUUGCUGCCUCCAGUAUAUUGCUUAAUCAUCCUACCUGGGUUGAGUUUGUGCAUCGAUUGUGAACACAACAGGCAGCAGGCUAUAAUGGUGGUCCUGGCUGGAGUAGUUUUCACAGACUUCAGUAAUCUGUGGAGAUGAACGGGCAGUUCUCUGUAGUUUUCACAGAUCACUGCCAGUUCGUUUUGAGGCCUUCAGGAGUGAAGACCUGGCUCAUCAUCACUCUUUGUUGUUUUGUUAAAUUUAUUUACACCCUACUUUAUUCCAGAGGAAAGGAUUUAACGUAGUUUACAUAAAUGUGUACAUCAGGGUAAAUUAAAAAUAAGUACAGAGAAAAAUAGGACAAAAGAAAACCGUGAGUGUGAAAGAUAAGAUUAAGCCAGCAGUUUUGUAUGCAAAAUGCAUGGUGUAAGGUCCUAUUGGUUUGCUGGAGGUAGGCCACACAUAUGACUCUCAGUUUUCUAGCAACCAAGAAAAAGAUCAGUUGCAAUCGGAGUAGGUGUUUUGGCUAAGCUGGAACUAGGACUUGAAUAUAGCAGCUUGUAGAGUUAUACCACUUGCCCAAAUCUCUUCCAUGAGCCUCUUUAAGUGUAACAGAAUGCCUGGGAGCACGUAAAUGCUCCUACUUAGAUGCCUACUUAGCCUCUAAUUUUCAUGGGGCCCAUGAAUCCCAUGAAAAAGAACUUUGAACCCUGUCCACAAUUAGAGUUCAGGUAUACGCAGACAUGUUUAAAGACAAGGGACACCCAAAGGAAAGAUUGCACAGAGAGAAAGUGAGCAUCCGAGAGAAAAUCACCACAAGUGAGGCAGAGGGAGGCCGGUCUCAGCAGAGUUUUGGAGGUCGUGAGAAGAAGAGGUAGGAGAUAGGAGAGUGGUUCCGAGUACUUGCCUGCUGAUGUUACCUUCUCCACCCCCACCAGGUUUUCCAGUGCCUGGAGUCUUGGGCAGGAAUGGGCCACUGUAAGAAAGAGCUUUAUCACUAGGGCCUCAGCCAACUUUUCUGUGGGAUAUCCCUCCAAAAUAAUUAAGAGUUCAGAAUGCUUCAGAUUUUGAAGUGAAACUGGUACAUAUAUUAAGUGUUACUUAAUAACCCGAUAGUUUCUAGGGCAGCUCACCAUAAUCCCAAGUAUUAGCCACCACCCUCACCCCCUUCAGAGUAAAAUGUGUUUCCUGAAGGAAGUUGGGAAAAUGAAGAAAAAAAAUACAAAAAUCACCUAUAAUCUUACCAGUCAUAGAUGGCAGUUUUCCUGUCUUAUUUCUGAAUAAUGGUUGUUAAACAUUUGCCAGCACACCAUAAGGCUUAGGGAGGCAUCUGGGUCAUGCAUGUUAAUAUCCUUGGGUAAUUCCAGAAAUCUCUAUGAAGGGAAACUCCUGUUAUUUAUCUAGACUUCCUGAUUGCAAGGGGUUUGGGCAUCAUGAUUUAGGGGUCUUAAUAAAAUUAUUAUUUUAUUUUUACUAAUAGAUAAUGUCUGUGCCUAUCAGAUAAAGGCAAACCAGUGCUCAGAGGAACCCAACCAUCUCUGAAUUGAGACCAGAGAGCUGUCUCUAUGGAUAGUCCUUAGAGAAGGCAUUUCGGAACACAGUAAACAGCAGCCUGGUGACUCCGAUUACAGGGCCAGUUGCCUUUGUUACAAUAAAAGCAAGUCAUCUACACAGAUUUUUCCUACCAGGAAGAGCAUGUGCUGACCAACAGACAUGAAUUUCAGCCUGGUAGUUACAACAUUCACAGGAGUUUCACUCGUUGCCCAGGCUGGAGUGCAACGGCGCGAUCUCAGCUCACUGCAACCUCCGCCUCCCCAGUUCAAGCGAUUCUCCUGCCUCAGCCUCCUGAGUCACUGGAAUUACGGGCGCCUGACACCACGCCCAGCUAAUUUUUUGUAUUUUUAGUAGACAUGGGGUUUCACUAUGUUGGCCAGGCUGGUCUCGAACUCCUGACCUCAUGAUCCUCCUGCCUCAGCCUCCCAAAGCACUGGGAUUACAGGUGUGAGCCACUGUGCCUGGUCCAUUAAAAACAUUUGUAAAGCUAUGGUGUUGAUAAAGUAUUAUGAAAGACUGCAAAAAAAGAUGGCUAAUUUUUAGUUAUUAUUGCACAUGUUUAGAGGAGCUAAUGACAUUUUCUAUGAUUAAUAAAAGACAUUAUUUAUGUUUUUAUUUAUGUAUUCCACAACAUUUAUUUUAUUUUCUCCAUUUCAGGAAAACCACUAUGUUGUUACAAUAAAGAUUUUCAUGUAAUUUGUGUUCAAUUGAUAGUAAUAAUGUAACAAGUUAAAAAUGAAGGUAAUUGUGUUUAAAAUUUGAGCAUAUUUUCAUCAAAAUGUAAGUUAAAGUGAUUGUAAAUUUUAAGAUCAUAAUUACUUUGUAUAUCUUCAAGAAAAUUAUUGUUUUAAAAUAUUUAUGCCUAUUAAAAUUAGAAGGCAAAAUAAAAAUAUAUGAAUACCAACAUUUUAAAUAAAAAUCAUUUAAAUAA
rnacentral:lncRNA from 1 species